GGUCGUGGCUCAGUGGUAGAGCACUUGCCUAGCAUGCAUGAGGCACUGGGUUCAAUCCCCGGCACCA
rnacentral:tRNA from 1 species